UAAUACGUAGGGUGCGAGCGUUAAUCGGAAUUACUGGGCGUAAAGCGUGCGCAGGUGGUUUUUUAAGUCAGACGUGAAAUCCCCGGGCUUAACCUGGGAACUACGUUUGAAACUGGAAGACUAGAGUGUGGCAGAGGGGGGUGGAAUUCCUGGUGUAGCAGUGAAAUGCGUAGAGAUCAGGAGGAACACCGAUGGCGAAGGCAGCCCCCUGGGCUAACACUGACGCUCAUGCACGAAAGCGUGGGGAGCAAACAGG
rnacentral:rRNA from 1 species